AGAGUGAUUUUUAUUUGGCUAAAUUAUUAAUCUGCUCUUCCUUUCUCUCAUUUUCACCCAUUCCUCCUUCGUUCCUACCUUUCACAGAUUUGCGGUAGCUGGGCCAGACAUGAUAUCAUCUUCUAUAGUUCAGGAGUGAGAGUACAACCUGAACUCUCUGGAAAUCUGAAAGGAAAAUAAAUUUAGUGGAGAUCAUAAACAAAAUGGAAGAUUGAAUGGAGUCACCUAUGUUACAAGUAGCUGUGGCAUUUAGCAUAUUUUAUUGAUCAUGUGAUUAGUAUAACUAUGUUCCAAGUAGGUAUACCAUUCGGUAUUGGAUUGAACUUCUUAAGAAAAGUCGCAAGUAUAGUUCAGUUGGAUGAUUGAACUUCCUAUU